UACGUAGGGGGCGAGCGUUGUCCGGAUUUAUUGGGCGUAAAGAGCUCGUAGGCGGUUUGUCGCGUCUGCCGUGAAAGUCCGGGGCUCAACUCCGGAUCUGCGGUGGGUACGGGCAGACUAGAGUUCGGUAGGGGAGACUGGAAUUCCUGGUGUAGCGGUGAAAUGCGCAGAUAUCAGGAGGAACACCGGUGGCGAAGGCGGGUCUCUGGGCCGAUACUGACGCUGAGGAGCGAAAGCGUGGGGAGCGAACAGG
rnacentral:rRNA from 1 species